rnacentral:rRNA from 1 species
AUUGAACGCUGGCGGAAUGCUUUACACAUGCAAGUCGAACGGUAGAGGGGGCAACCCCUCGAGAGUGGCGAACGGGUGAGUAAUAUAUCGGAACGUGCCCAGUCGUGGGGGAUAACGUAGCGAAAGUUACGCUAAUACCGCAUACGAUCUAAGGAUGAAAGCGGGGGAUCGCAAGACCUCGCGCGAUUGGAGCGGCCGAUAUCAGAUUAGGUAGUUGGUGGGGUAAAGGCUCACCAAGCCAACGAUCUGUAGCUGGUCUGAGAGGACGACCAGCCACACUGGAACUGAGACACGGUCCAGACUCCUACGGGAGGCAGCAGUGGGGAAUUUUGGACAAUGGACGCAAGUCUGAUCCAGCCAUUCCGCGUGCAGGAUGAAGGCCCUCGGGUUGUAAACUGCUUUUGUACGGAACGAAAAGGUCUCUCUUAAUACGGGGGGCUCAUGACGGUACCGUAAGAAUAAGCACCGGCUAACUGCGUGCCAGCCGCCGCCGUAAAAC